rnacentral:lncRNA from 1 species
GUCGCACUGGCGGGCGCCAAGAUGGACGCUCCGUGGGCUCGGGAGCAGCUACGGCGGCGUUACCUGUUUCCUUCCGAAGUAGAGCUGGACUGCGAGGACGAGGCCAAGCCGGGUGAGGCUCCCCAGACUCUGGGGCCCAGAGUGGGGCCGCGAGUCGGUGUCCAGGGUCCUGACAGGUCUUUCAACCAUCCCAUCCUCCCCUGAGCCGUAUUUCCGCAUUCCGUGGAGAGUCGACUUAAUGCCGGCUUGGAAACCCCCUUUAAAACUAAAACCAAAACCGACCACUUCAGCUUUGCCCCAAUGUAAUACGGUACGGAUGUAUGUACUUAGCUGCCUGUCAGCAGAAAGCUAGCAAAAAUCAGUUUGGAUUAGAUGUAUCUCUGCCUGGACAUCAGAUAGACUUUUCUGUAUCCCUGUGGGCCGUUUUCAGAAGGUAUCUCAGAACAAUAUUUAUGACAUGUCACCAUUUGGGUACGAACUACACUCCAUUAUGUGUUUUUGCCUGUAGAUGCACAGAAUAAAAAGCAAUUUCAUAGGAACGAAUCAUGCUAGCUUCCUAUAGGCUAGAGAACGGUAAGGAUGAGAUACACUUUAUUUUAGAGCUGUUUGACCUGGAUAUUGUAAGAACUUUAUUUGUUAGCUUUUCAAAAUAAACACUGGCAGUUUGUGUGCAUUUUGAGAAUAUCUUCAAGAAUUUGUGUUAGUAGUAACCUCUCUACAGACUGAUAGUCUAGAGACCUCACUUGGAAACCAGUAGUCCUCAUACAGAGAUGGCAUGUCGGAAUCCCUUCAUUUUGUUUGCAGGGAGAGCAGUGACUCGCCUGUCAACUGUGCAGUCUAUGCUGUCUUCCGGGGCUACAGCUCUGGUGUGUUACUCCAUGUUGGAGCUACCCCAAAAGCUGAUGUCUGUUUAAAAUAUUUUGGUAUAAAUUUUAUUGUAUUUGGCGUUUUCCUUUUAUUAGUGUAUGCGCACUCAUUAAUUGGUACACGUGCUUUUGGAGGCCAGAGAUUGCGCAUCUUGCUCUUUUGGUCUCCACAUUUUUUUUGAGACUAGAUGUCCCUUGGCCCCUGGAUCCACCUGUCUCUGUGGAUGCUGGGGAUGAACUCAGGUUCUCAUGUUUGUGCAGCAACCAUGUUACCUGCUGAACCCUCUCAUUCCCCUGCUUUUGACAUUUUACUUAGUUAACAUAAUUAAUUACUUCCCUAGAGGAAAUGUGAAAUAAAGUGUGUGCUAUACCAUACUUCUGGAUGGCAUUGCUGUAGCUAGAAGAUUAUGAAAUGCGAUUCCAAGAUUCAUUUUUCAGCAAUAACCAGUAAUAUUGAGCAUAUUUUCUAGUGAGUACCUAUUAACUAUUUCAGCAAAUGUAAAUCUACCAUUUUUGUUAUUUGUUUGGUAGGUUCUUGGCAUAGAACUCAAGACUUCAUGCAUACUCAAGAUAUAUUCUACCACUGGGUGACGCCUCUGCCCCUAUAUAUACACGUAUCCUGAUGCUCUGACAGAAGGAGCUCCCACCUUAGUGGGAGGGAUUCUGGUUACUGGAAAGUUCUAGGAGAUGACUUCAUCUGGUGUAAAAAACUGGGCGAGUUCAUAACUCAAAAUCUCCCCUAUUUUAUAGAAACACCCACAGCUGUUGAGAAAAAGGAGCGACCUCUUCCAAGACUUAACAUUCAUUCUGGAUUCUGGAUUUUGGCAUCCAUCGUUGUGACCUAUUAUGUUGACUUCUUUAAAACCUUUAAAGAAAAUUUUCACACCAAUAGGUAAGAAAAUGUUGUUUCUCCAGGCAUAGUGACACAAUGAUCUUAAUUCCAGAACUUGGGAAACAGAGGCAGGUGGAUCUCUUGAGUUUAAAGCUACACAUUGAGUUCCAGGACAGCCUAUAUUAGUGAGAUGAAAAAAAGAAAGAACAAAAAAAAAAAAAAAAAAAAACC